rnacentral:rRNA from 1 species
AGGAUGAACGCUGGCGGCGUGCCUAACACAUGCAAGUCGCACGAGAAAGGGUAGCAAUACCUGAGUACAGUGGCGCACGGGUGAGUAACACGUGACUAACCUACCCUCGAGUGGGGAAUAACCUAGGGAAACCUGGGCUAAUACCGCAUAACACUUACGAGUCAAAGCAGCAAUGCGCUUGGGGAGGGGUCGCGGCCGAUUAGCUAGUUGGCGGGGUAAUGGCCCACCAAGGCAAUGAUCGGUA